GGGAAGGUGGCUCAGUGGUAGAGCGCUUGCCUUGUGUUCAUGAGGCCCUGGGUUCGAUUCCUCACCACCACA
rnacentral:tRNA from 1 species